rnacentral:tRNA from 1 species
UAGCCUAGUGGUUAAGGCUAUGGUUCGCCAAUCCAGAGACGGCGGGUUCGAUUCCCGU